rnacentral:rRNA from 1 species
AUGCUGGUCGACGGCGAGCUCGCUCUGGCCACGGGGGACCUCGUGCCAUCGUCGCCAUGGCCGGUGGAGUCCACGGGCCUCCUUCUGUCCCGGCGUGAGAACAUCUACCCCGCCGGUGCUCCAUGGAGAGGCGGACGAGCUAGUGCUGCUCACUCUCUCCAGCGAGAGGAAAAUGAAUGGUGCCCAAAAGAUGUUCGACGGAAUGCCUCAAAGAAAGAGAUAUGGGAAGAAGAUGGCCGUCUAGUCAUUGACAGAUGGGGUCCACAUUUCAUUUGCCACAUCAGUUGGUCAAAGCUUUUAGUCGUCGCCACGUCAGCCCGACAUGCGGGCCCAACUUGUCAGUUUCGCUAUUUUCGCAAGCUUAUCAGACAAUCAGUACUCCGCGUUAUAGAUUAG